ACGCACGCUGGCAGCGUGCUUCACCCAUGCAAGUCGAACGGAAAGGCCUGCUUUCCCUUGUGGAUUGCGGGUACUCGAGUGGCGAACGGGUGAGUAACACGUGAGUGAUCUGCCCCCAACUUGGGUAUAAGCCUGGGAAACUGGGUCUAAUUCCCGAUAGGACUGCAGGGUGGUGCCUGUGGUGGAAAACGAUUUUCUAGUGGUUGGGGAUGAGCUCGCGGCCUAUCAGCUUGUUGGUGGGGUAAUGGCCUACCAAGGCGGCGACGGGUAGCCGGCCUGAGAGGGUGGACGGCCACAUUGGGACUGAGAUACGGCCCAGACUCCUACGGGAGGCAGCAGUGGGGAAUAUUGCACAAUGGGCGGAAGCCUGAUGCAGCGACGCCGCGUGGGGGAUGACGGCCUUCGGGUUGUAAACUCCUUUCGACCGCGAGGAAGCCACCUGGUUGGAAGGGUGGUGACGGUAGUGGUAGAAGAAGCACCGGCUAACUACGUG
rnacentral:rRNA from 1 species